GAUGAACGCUAGCGGCAGGCCUAAUACAUGCAAGUCGAGGGGCAGCGCGGUAGCAAUACUGGCGGCGACCGGCGCACGGGUGCGUAACACGUAUGCAACCUACCUUCAACUGGAGGAUAGCCCGGGGAAACUCGGAUUAAUACUCCAUAACACAGGGAUCCCGCAUGGGGAAUAUUGUUAAAGCUACGGCGGUUGAAGAUGGGCAUGCGUUCGAUUAGCUAGUUGGUGUAGGUAACGGCUCACCAAGGCUACGAUCGAUAGGGGGUCUGAGAGGAUGAUCCCCCACACUGGUACUGAGAUACGGACCAGACUCCUACGGGAGGCAGCAGUAGGGAAUA
rnacentral:rRNA from 1 species